GCCCUCGUAGCUCAACUGGAUAGAGCGGCUCCCUUCGAAGGAGAAGGUUGUGGGUUCAAGUCCUGCCGGGGGCA
rnacentral:tRNA from 4 species